GUGCCAGCCGCCGCGGUAAUACGAAGGGUGCAAGCGUUACUCGGAAUUACUGGGCGUAAAGCGUGCGUAGGUGGUUGUUUAAGUCUGUCGUGAAAGCCCUGGGCUCAACCUGGGAAUUGCGAUGGAAACUGGGCGACUAGAGUGUGGCAGAGGGUAGUGGAAUUCCUGGUGUAGCAGUGAAAUGCGUAGAGAUCAGGAGGAACAUCCGUGGCGAAGGCGACUGCCUGGGCCAACACUGACACUGAGGCACGAAAGCGUGGGGAGCAAACAGGAUUAGAUACCCGUGUAGUCCGGCUGACUGACU
rnacentral:rRNA from 1 species